rnacentral:rRNA from 1 species
UGGGGAAUUUUGGACAAUGGGCGAAAGCCUGAUCCAGCAAUGCCGCGUGUGUGAAGAAGGCCUUCGGGUUGUAAAGCACUUUUGUCCGGAAAGAAAUCCUUGGCUCUAAUACAGUCGGGGGAUGACGGUACCGGAAGAAUAAGCACCGGCUAACUACGUGCCAGCAGCCGCGGUAAUACGUAGGGUGCAAGCGUUAAUCGGAAUUACUGGGCGUAAAGCGUGCGCAGGCGGUUUGCUAAGACCGAUGUGAAAUCCCCGGGCUCAACCUGGGAACUGCAUUGGUGACUGGCAGGCUAGAGUAUGGCAGAGGGGGGUAGAAUUCCACGUGUAGCAGUGAAAUGCGUAGAGAUGUGGAGGAAUACCGAUGGCGAAGGCAGCCCCCUGGGCCAAUACUGACGCUCAUGCACGAAAGCGUGGGGAGCAAACAGGAUUAGAUACCCUGGUAGUCCACGCCCUAAACGAUGUCAACUAGUUGUUGGGGAUUCAUUUCCUUAGUAACGUAGCUAACGCGUGAAGUUGGCCGCCUGGGGAGUACGGUCGCAAGAUUAAAAACUUAAAGGAAUUGACGGGGUCAUAGCUGUUUCCU